rnacentral:rRNA from 1 species
UGAAUACGAGAUGCUACGGCGUCGAAGCAGUGUAUGUCAUACUUCCAAGAAAAGCUCGCUAUGUCGUAAACAAUUAAUGCCUGUACCAUAACCGACACAGGUGGGUAGGUAGAGUAUACUAAGGGGCGCGAGAUAACUCUCUCUAAGGAACUCGGCAAAAUGACUCCGUAACUUCGGGAGAAGGAGUACCUUAUUUAUAAGGUUGCAAUAACAAGAUCCAAGCAACUGUUUACCAAAAACACAGGUCUCCGCUAAGUCGUAAGACGAUGUAUGGGGGCUGACGCCUGCCCAGUGCCAGAAGGUUAAAGAAGUUGGUUAGCAUUCGCGAAGCUGAUGACUGAAGCCCUGGUGAACGGCGGCCGUAACGAUAACGGUCCUAAGGUAGCGAAAUUCCUUGUCGGGUAAGUUCCGACCCGCACGAAAGGCGUAAUGAUUUGGAUACUGUCUCGGAGAGGGGCUCGGUGAAAUAGACUUGUCUGUGAAGAUGCGGACUACCUGCACCAGGACAGAGAGACCCUAUGAAGCUUUACUGUAACUUGAGAUUGAAAUUGGACUUUAUUUGUGCAGUAUAGGUGGGAGGCGUUGAAGAAAUUCUUGCGGGAAUUUUGGAGCCAUCAGUGAGAUACCACCCCUAUAAUGUUAGAUUUCUAACUUUGUAUCAUUAUCUGGUCAAAGAACAGUUUCAGGCGGGCAGUUUGACUGGGGCGGUCGCCUCCCAAAUGGUAACGGAGGCGUACAAAGGUUUCCUCUGAACGGGUAGAAAUCGUAUCUAGAGUAUAAAGGCAUAAGGAAGCUUGACUGUGAGACCUACAAGUCGAGCAGGGACGAAAGUCGGUCUUAGUGAUCUGACGGUGCUGAGUGGAAAGGCCGUCACUCAACGGAUAAAAGUUACUCUAGGAUAACAGGCUGAUCUCCCCCAAGAGUUCACAUCGACGGGGAGGUUUGGCACCUCGAUGUCGGCUCAUCGCAUCCUGGGGCGGUAGUACGUCCCAAGGGUUGGGCUGUUCGCCCAUGAAAGCGGUACGCGAGCUGGGUUCAGAACGUCGUGAGACAGUUCGGUCCAUAUCCGGUGUAGGCGUUAGAAUAUUGAGAGGAGCCUUCUUUAGUACGAGAGGACCGAGAAGGACAUACCUCUGGUGUACCAGUUAUCGUGCCAACGGUAAACGCUGGGUAGCUAUGUAUGGAGUGGAUAACCGCUGAAAGCAUCUAAGUGGGAAGCCCACCUCAAGAUAAGUAUUCUC